rnacentral:rRNA from 1 species
UGGGGGAUAUUGCACAAUGGGCGAAAGCCUGAUGCAGCGACGCCGCGUGGGGGAUGAAGGCCUUCGGGUUGUAAGCUUCUUUUGCUCUGAACAAGGCGCACCAUGGGGUGUGUUGAGUGUAGGGGUUGAUUAGCGCCGGCUAACUACGUGCCAGCAGCCGCGGUAAUACGUAGGGCGCGAGCGUUGUCCGGAAUUAUUGGGCGUAAAGGGCUUGUAGGUGGCUGGUUGCGUCUGUCGUGAAAGCUCAUGGCUUAACUGUGGGUUUGCGGUGGGUACGGGCUGGCUUGAGUGCAGUAGGGGAGGCUGGAAUUCCUGGUGUAGCGGUGGAAUGCGCAGAUAUCAGGAGGAAUACCGGUGGCGAAGGCGGGUCUCUGGGCUGUUACUGACACUGAGGAGCGAAAGCAUGGGGAGCGAACAGG